UAAGACAUGCAAGUCGAACGCUAGAUUGUGUGUAGCAAUACUCGCAGUCUGGAGUGGCGUAAGGGUGCGUAACACGUGGGUAAUUUGCCUGGAAGCCCGGGAUAACUCCGAGAAAUCGGAGCUAAUACCGGAUGUGAUCAGGGGUUGGCAUCAACUCCUGCUCAAAGUCGGGGACCGAAAGGCCUGACACUACCAGAUAAGCCCGCGGCCUAUCAGCUAGUUGGCGGGGUAACGGCCCACCAAGGCUAAGACGGGUAGCUGGUCUGAGAGGACGACCAGCCACACUGGAACUGAGACACGGUCCAGACACCUACGGGUGGCAGCAGUCGAGAAUUUUUCACAAUGGGGGAAACCCUGAUGGAGCGACGCCGCGUGGGGGAUGAAUGGCUUCGGCCCGUAAACCCCUGUCAUUUGCGAACAAACCUGGUGGCUGAACAAGCUGCCAGCUGAUAGUAGCAGAAGAGGAAGGGACGGCUAACUCUGUGCCAGCAGCCGCGGUAAUACAGAGGUCCCAAGCGUUGUUCGGAUUCACUGGGCGUAAAGGGUGCGUAGGCGGUGGGGUAAGUUUGAGGUGAAAUCUCCGGGCUCAACCCGGAAAAUGCCUUGAAGACUAUCCUGCUAGAGGAUCGGAGGGGAGACUGGAAUUCUCGGUGUAGCAGUGAAAUGCGUAGAUAUCGAGAGGAACACCAGUGGCGAAGGCGAGUCUCUGGACGAUUCCUGACGCUGAGGCACGAAAGCCAGGGGAGCAAACGGGAUUAGAUACCCCGGUAGUCCUGGCCCUAAACGGUGCGCACUUGCUGUGGGCGGAUUCGACCCCGUCCGUGGCGAAGGAAACCCGAUAAGUGCGCCGCCUGGGGAGUAC
rnacentral:rRNA from 1 species